rnacentral:tRNA from 1 species
GGGGUUGUUGCUCAAUGGCAGAGCACUUGUCUCGCAUAUGGGAGGCACUGGGUUCGAUCCUCAGCACCACA